AUACUUGGCCUGGCAGGAGAGAUACCAUGAUAAAGGAGGUGGUUUUCUAGGGCAAGUCUCCUCCAUUGCAAUCCAGGUGUGCUGACCUGUGAGUUCCCCAAAUGAGGGAAGCUCGACUGUGUAAUUUCUGGAAGUGAGGGACUGCGUUCACACUUUCCUCUG